rnacentral:rRNA from 1 species
UCAACCCUCAAGCCCUGCUUGGUGUUGAGCCCUCGCCAGCGAUGGCCGGCUCUAAAAUCAGUGGCGGCGCCGCGGGGCCCUGAACGUAGUAAUCUCUCUCGUUACAGGUGCUCGGCGCGCUCCCGUCGACCCUUCAUCUUCU